AGUGAACGCUGGCGGUAGGCCUAACACAUGCAAGUCGAACGGCAGCACAGUAAGAGCUUGCUCUUACGGGUGGCGAGUGGCGGACGGGUGAGGAAUACAUCGGAAUCUACUUUUUCGUGGGGGAUAACGUAGGGAAACUUACGCUAAUACCGCAUACGACCUACGGGUGAAAGCAGGGGAUCUUCGGACCUUGCGCGAUUGAAUGAGCCGAUGUCGGACUAGCUAGUUGGCGGGGUAAAGGCCCACCAAGGCGACGAUCCGUAGCUGGUCUGAGAGGAUGAUCAGCCACACUGGAACUGAGACACGGUCCAGACUCCUACGGGAGGCAGCAGUGGGGAAUAUUGGACAAAGGGCGCAAGCCUGAUCCAGCCAUACCGCGUGGGUGAAGAAGGCCUUCGGGUUGUAAAGCCCUUUUGUUGGGAAAGAAAAGCAGCAGGUUAAUACCCCGCUGUUCUGACGGUACCCAAAGAAUAAGCACCGGCUAACUUCGUG
rnacentral:rRNA from 1 species